CUAUAGGACUAGUGGUUAGGCUAGAGUGCUCUCAACGCUGCAGUCUGGGUUCGAUUCCCGGCCAGAGA